rnacentral:rRNA from 1 species
CCUACGGGUGGCUGCAGUGGGGAAUAUUGGACAAUGGGCGAAAGCCUGAUCCAGCCAUGCCGCGUGUGUGAAGAAGGCCUUCGGGUUGUAAAGCACUUUCAGUGGGGAAGAAAGCCUUGGGGCUAAUACCCUCGAGGAAGGACAUCACCCACAGAAGAAGCACCGGCUAACUCCGUGCCAGCAGCCGCGGUAAUACGGAGGGUGCGAGCGUUAAUCGGAAUUACUGGGCGUAAAGCGCGCGUAGGCGGUCUGAUAAGCCGGUUGUGAAAGCCCCGGGCUCAACCUGGGAACGGCAUCCGGAACUGUCAGGCUAGAGUGCAGGCGAGGAAGGUAGAAUUCCCGGUGUAGCGGUGAAAUGCGUAGAGAUCGGGAGGAAUACCAGUGGCGAAGGCGGUCUUCUGGACUGACACUGACGCUGAGGUGCGAAAGCGUGGGUAGCAAACAGGAUUAGAUACCCCAGUAGUC